CCUACGGGUGGCAGCAGUGGGGAAUAUUGCACAAUGGGGGAAACCCUGAUGCAGCGACGCCGCGUGAAGGAAGAAGGAUUUCGGGAUGUAAACUUCUAUCAGCAGGGAAGAAAAUGACGGUACCUGACUAAGAAGCACCGGCUAACAACGGGCCAGCAGCCGCGGCAAUACGUAGGGGGCAAGCGUUAUCCGGAGUUACUGGGUGUAAAGGGAGCGUAGGCGGCGAUGCAAGUCAGAAGUGAAAACCCGGGGCUCAACUCCGGGACUGCUUUUGAAACUGGGUUGCUAGAUUGCUGGAGAGGUAAGUGGAAUUCCUAGUGUAGCGGUGAAAUGCGUAGAUAUUAGGAGGAACACCAGUGGCGAAGGCGGCUUACUGGACUGUAAAUGACGCUGAGGCUCGAAAGCGUGGGGAGCAAACAGGAUUAGAUACCCGUGUAGUC
rnacentral:rRNA from 1 species